UACAGAGGGUGCGAGCGUUGUCCGGAAUCACUGGGCGUAAAGGGCGCGUAGGCGGCUCGGUCAGCGUGCGGUGAAAGCCCGGGGCUCAACCCCGGGUCGGCCGUGCGAACUGCUGGGCUGGAGCACUGUAGAGGCAGGUGGAAUUCCGGGUGUAGCGGUGGAAUGCGUAGAGAUCCGGAGGAACACCGACGGCGUAGGCAGCGCCCUAGACGAGACCUGACGCUCAGGCACGAAAGCGCGGGGAGCGAACAGG
rnacentral:rRNA from 1 species